AAACUGAAGCUUGAAAUUAUUAUUAGUACGGUCUUAAUUAUUAUGAACUAAACGGUUAUACAGGUUUUUUGCAACAAGAGCAAAAAGAGUGGUCGCCGAUUUAUGAGGAAUUUACGAAAGGAUUCGUCCGAAAGUUUUGAAGGAGUGGAUAAGGAAACAAACCAGGAGAUCAAUGAAGUUGGAGAGGCCACAGCUAAACCAAUUCAAUCAUUUCAAGCCCAAAAGGAUACUCCUUCAAUAAAAAAGGUUUUGCAACAAGAGCAAAAUGUGUGUUCGCCGAUCCAUGAGUAAUUUACGAAAGGAUCUAUCCGAAAGUUUUGAAGGAAUGCAUAAGGAAACAGACCAGGAGAUCAAUGAAGUUCGAGAGGCUACAAGUUCUAGGUAGGGUCGACCUCUGCUUCUCGUGGCUGAUUGUGCGAGAGUUGCUGCUGAGAGUCUUACAGGGUGAGCACGAGGACGUCCGCUGCCUUGGAGAUUCUUUCCUUAUGCUAUGUCUUAUUUUGAUAUUCCGAGACAUAUUCAGACUUUGAUGUAUUAUUGAUAUUUUCAGACUCGUAGAUGUUAGUUAGUUGCUCUUGUAUGACUAGACAGAUUUCUGGAAUGGUUGUUGUAUUUCCGCAUAUUCUAUCUAUUAUUAUGUCAGACUUACGUAUUC